GUGAGGGAAAUUCUAGAUCCAGUUUUGAAGUCUGACAGAACUGAAUUGAAACACAGCAUCCAAUGCUUUCUUAUUUGACCUUGGGAAAGUCACAACUUCUCUUUGCCUCAGUUUUCUCAUCUGUAAAAUGGAGAAAAUAAAACUGACCUUAAAGUAUGAUUGUAUAGAUAUUUUAAAACGCUAUUUACAAAGCAGUCUUUGGCACAGAAGAGGAGCCCAAUAAUGAAGCUAGUACAGGUAUUCUCCAUUGUAUGGCCUGUUGCUCCACAUGCCCUCCAGCUAAAGCCUCUCAUAGCAGGGGGAGCAAGGGACAGAAGGCCAAUCAAAGAAUUAGGAAGAUUUUAAGCUGAAAGGGCUUUAGCAGUACUGAGGUCAAAGGUUCUCAGACAUGGCUGAGCAUCCCAAUAACUGGUAGCCUGUUAAUAAUACUGAUUCCAGGUCCUUAUCCGGGAGACUGGGACUCAAGAAGUCUGUCUAGGGGCCAGGGUAUCUGCAAUUUAAUAAGCUCUCCAGGUGAUUCUGAUGAACUGCCAAGUUUGAGAACCUCUGAACUAGGUCAGUCACCUUGUUAAAGUAAAUGAGUAAAUGAAUUACUACUAUUUUUCUUCCAUUAUAAGCACAAUGCAUAGUCAUUAUAAAAUAUGCAGAAAACAUGGAAAAGCAAAAAAUCAAAAUAAAAAAGUAAAAAUUCAAUCAUAUAUUGAGUGAUUAUUAAAUGCCAGGCCCUUUGCUGAAUCCUAGGGAUUUGUUGAUAACACAAUUCUGACCCUAAGGAAGGCCCAGUCUAUGUGCAGAGAUGGAAACAAACAAGAAGACUGUAACAGAGGACAUAUGUGUUAGAGCCAAGUUACAAAUUUUAUAGAAAGAAGGAUGAAGGAGCAACUGAUUCCACCUAGGAAGUCAGGGAAAUUUGCAGAGCUGGACUAGAAGAAGAGCAGAUAUUCAUGGCGAGACAAGGGAGUAAAGGGAAUUUCAGGAGGAAUGAACCAGACAUACAAAAGCAUACAGGGAUGAAAGGUAUUUGUUAGGAAAAUGUCCUAAGGUCACCAUAGUGAGGUCACCAUAUACAGUAAAUAGUGGUGGCACAAAGACAGCUGGUGUGAACAUCUGGGUCUGGAUCAUGAAGGGUGUGGAUAACAUCAACAAUGCUUCCUACACUGGAAAGUAUAUUUCCCAGUAUAUUUUUCAUAUGUGCCUUUUUGUUUUCAUUUUUACAUGACCAAUGCUGCAAUUCUUACUUAAUAAACACUACAAAUUAGUGAAGCAGAUAGGUCAUCUUUUAUCCAUUACCAAAUGUUAGUAAAAUUAGGUAGCUCCUAAUUUUACUAAAUUAUAAAAAGACUAUGAUGAACAUCUUUAACCAUAAAGUUUUUUUCCAUAUUUAAGAUCUUUCCUUAGAGAAGAAUGCUAGGAUAUGAAUUAAUAAAUGAAAGUGAAUGGACAUCUUCAAGGCUCUUGAUAAUAGCUCCAAAGGAUUUUCCAAAAGUGGCACAGAUGUUUUUAUAAAUGAGGAGAUAAGGCCCAAAGAGGUUCCAUGUCUUGUCCAGAUUAUACAGUCGAAUGGGGCGGUACCAAGAGCAACAUCUGGGUCUCCCAACCCCCACUCUAGCUCUCUUUCUUCUGACCACAUUGCUUUUCUACAAAUCAUAGAGAGAUGAAAUAAUAUCUAUUCACCCAAUGCUUCCAAUCAAUUCUAAGUAUUUUAGGUUGGCAAUGUACAUGCAUAGGAGAUGUGAGUAACAUGUGUGUGUUUACAUGCACAUGUGAAGCUCUAUAUACGAGUCUAUUUUUCCAUCCUUAUCAUGUAUGCUCCCCUACCAAUGACAAUUUUUGUUCUAGCCAAGCUGAGCAAAUCUUACAUUGUCUUACCUCCACACCGUUGAUCCUACAUGAAGUAUCUCUUGUUCUCCUAGUCAAAUUCUAUGCAUAUUUUUAAAAUCCAAAAAGCAUUUCCUGACUCUGGGCACUUACUAUCAACAAGAGUCAUACGUGAUACUUACUUUAUUGCUUUGCAGCAGCUCUGGUAUUGAUAUAAAAUUAUUUAAGUUUUACCUAUACAAUAAAAGCUGCCUCCAGCUUCUGUUAUUAGAAAGGGAUAAAACAACCCCCCCAACCCCACCCUUGAGGCUAAUGAAAAGACUUCUAGCAUUUGAUGGGCUGAAGACAGGUAAGGCCAAUCCCUUGUACCUUCUAUAUCUACAGUAGUAGACAUCUUGGUAGACUGGAAAGAGCACAGGACCAGGAGACAGAAUAAUAAUAGCUUCCAUGUGCUGAGGACCUACUCUGACCAGGCACAAUGCUGGUUGCUUUAUAUACAUUAUUUAGAAUCCUUAAAAUUACCCCCAGCAAGGGAAAUAUUAUUUGACCCAUUUUACAGAUGAGGAAUCUUAGGACCUGAGAGAUUAAUUUAUUCACGGUCAAUACCAUCAGUAAGUGGCAAAAUCAGGAUUUAAACUCAAGUAUGUCUUACUCAAAAAUCUAUGUUUUUUUCUGCUUUACUAUAUUAUGUCUCAGCAAAUGUCAUUUCAGUUCUAUCUCUGUUACUUUCAAGAUACAUGAUCUUCUCCUGGUCUUUUUUUCUGUUGCUAUAACCGAAUACCACAGGCUGGAUAAUUUAUAAAGAAGUUGAUUUGGCUCACAGUUCUGGAGGCUGGAAAGUCCAAGAGCAUGGUGCUGGUAUCUAGUGAGGGUCAUGCUAGGGUGGACAGGUGGAAGGAGAAGAGAACACAUGCGAGAGAGAGCUUAUAUUUUUAACAAAGCCACUCCAGCAAUAACUAACCUACUCCCACAAUAAUGACAUAAAUCCAUUCAUAAGGGUUGAUCCCCCAUGACCCAAUCAGCUUCCAAAGGCCCCACUCCCAGCACUGUUACACUGGGGACCAAGUUUCUAACACAGGAAUUUUUGAGGAGCAUAUUCAAACCAUAGCAGAUGCCUAACAGGACAUUCAUGCUCUCCAAAUCCUAGCCUCCUCAGUAACAACAUGGGGAUAAUCAUCUUCCCAUCCUGCCCUUUACUCCCAACACACACGUACACAUACAGGGCUGUUGCAAUGAUUAAAUGUUAUAAUGAGUGUAAAAGACCCAGACAGACAUAUGGGUUGUUAUUAGAGUCCUGAACAGCACAACUGAUCAUUCUGGUGAUAAAUGGACAUCCUGCCAAGAUCCUCUGUCACUUAAAGAGAAUUUAAUUACGCUCACUAGACAGCUCCUUCUAGCAUCAGAGAGUGAAUGUUUGCAAUGCAUUUCAUAAUGACUUUCAAUAAGGCCUGAAACCAAGAGGUUAAUACUCUGAGAAAAAUCCAUUAACCAAAAUACUGCAUUCUUGGAGUACUCUGGUAAUCAUGGCUCCCUGGGAUAUUUUCCCACUCUAUCACAUAUAUGUAUGCAUUUCUAUAUACACUUGCACACAUCUUUCACUGGCAGCCUAUUUCUAGAAAGCAGGAUUCAGCAAAAGGGAAGCUGGGCUUGGAUUCCACCACCAGGGGGGCAAUUGUAAAUGGGCUGGGGGACAUUUAUUUCAGUUUUCCAGAGGUUUCUGGUGAAAUGUUAGGAGACCUGGCUGAGGUGUCAGGAGACCUGGGUUGUAGUUCACAUUCUGCUGCUUAUUCACUAUAUAACAUUGGACAACAUGCUUGACUCAGCCUCGAUGUCCUUUUACAUAAAAUAGGGAUGAUACCUACCUUAGAUAAAUUAGCUAACCUCCCUAGGGCAGUAUUUCCUCUGCUGUGAAACUGUCACAAUUACUAUGUAUAUAUCUGUACCGUGUGCUGGCCCUGUGCUGAGGGCUUUGCAUGUAUUCUUUCACUCCUCCUUACAGUCCUGUGAGACGGGUGCUAUUAUCUCCAGCUGACAGAAGAGGAAACCUAUGCUCAGAGGAGUUCAAUAAUUUGUACCAGGUCAUAUAACUGUUAAGUUACAGAGUUAGGAUUCAAACCUUGGUCCCCUUGAUUUGAAAUGCAGUGCCCUUAACCUUGAAACCACAUUCCUACUUACCAGAGAGCUGUUGCAAGGAAGAAAUGAAGAAACAUUAAUUAUUAUGUGUCUCCUGUGUAUCUAGUAGUUUGCAUCCCUCUUCUGUAAGACACAUGAGUACAAGGAUGCUCUAUAGAGCCCCCGCACAUGAGGCUGCUCUGUGACUGUGGGGCCCUGUGUGGGGAUAUGUGCAUUUUGAGAAGGCAAGGGACAGACAGGACCUGGUAGAAAAGUAUUUACUGCUGUGCUCCCCAAAGUCAUGAAGUCAGCCAUACUAGAAACAUGGAUGAGGGUUAUGGAUGAAAUUUCUCCGAAGUUUUAAAAGUUGGAGAGUUAAAGGCUGGCGUGGCAGUGACAGAAUCUUGCUGAAGACUAGAGUAAAACACUUGCAUUCAUGCAUUAUUGCAGAUUUUUAAGCUGAUGUAUCCAAGGUGACUGUGCUGGACACUAAUGAGGAAAAAGAUAUGACUGAAAUGGCAGGAGUACGUGCCUUCAGAGAAGCUGGACAACCCCACCCCCACUGCUUACACAGAAAGGAUGAAGGGACACAAGGAAGAACCCACAUUUUGAAAUCUUAGGCUGGAUUGAACUAAAAAUAGACCUGUGAUUCAAAUGUCUAUUACUGAGUUCUCUGCUUUUGCACUCUGGAAACCAGGUUGUUUCACUCCCCAUCAAAUCUACCUCCCUAAGGUGUUCAUUCCCACAGCUUGGAGACACAGCAAAGUAAAAACUGCUGAGAGUCUAAUGAGUGUGUGGUACCAUGCCGGGCCCUUUAUACCCAUGAUCUCAUCUGUGCUGCACAAUAACCUUGGGAUGCAUGUACAGAGGAGGAAACUGAGGCCCAGUUAGGUAAGAUGACUUGCCCAAGGUCAUUCAGCUACUAAGUGGCAAUACUGGGAAUUGAAUGAACUCAGGUCAGUCUGACUCCCGAACCCAUGCUCUUUCAAACAGAAAUCCUUGCUACAUUUCAAAGAGGCAGAGCUUCAUUUUAAGCUUAAUGAGUAAUGAAAGCAACAUUGCUCCCUAAUUUACCUUCUGGCUCUGGGAAGGACCCAGCAAGGCAGCCAUUUGAAUGAUUCAUUCCUGUGACUGACAAGGAGACUUCUCUUGGUUAUAGCUUCAGCAGCUGCUAAAUCUGCUACACACCACCCCACUUCACCCCCUCCAUUUGGCUCAGGUAGGUGGAAUUAUUUAUGUAAGAAUUUCAGUGGCCUCCUGCCUUAAGCAUGAUUAUCACAGACUUUUAAGUGAUAAAAAUGUCAUAAAUCAUAAUAAAGGACAAAAGGAAUCAGGGUCAGGGAAGGUAACAGGAAAGAAGAUAUUCUGAAAAGCAAAGAAGUAGGUACAGAUGCAACAGGGUAACUCUCAGCAUUUACAUAAACACUUUCCUAGCAAUUUAUUCAUCUGAUCCUCAUAAUACCCUGGUAGAUGUUAGUAUCUCCAUUUUACAGAUGAAGAAUGUGAGGGUUAGAUCUGAGGUCCAAGGUCAGACCGUGGGUAGGAUAAGAACCCAGGUCUCCUAAUUCUCGCUCAGUGCUUCCCAUAAGCCACUCACCCAAUAAAGUGAAGACAGAAAUCCAUGAGAACUAUCAGAGAAAGAACUCUGUAGUCUUGCCCCUCUGCAUGACAGGACCAGGGAGGGGAAAGUGGCUGCGACAGUAUCAGAGAGUAGUAGCACGGAGUCUGGAACUGUGGGCUCAGGAACAUUUUUCAAGUCCCACCUUAGAUAUAUACUACUACAUAAUUGUGUGACCCUAGGCAACUCAUUUAAUCUCUGCCCUGAUUUCCUCACUUGUAAAACAUAGCAAACAAUAGUACCCACUUCAUAUGGUGGUUGUGAUGACUAAAUAGAAAAAAAAAUACCAUACAUGAACAGUGCUUGGCGCCAAGGCAAACAAUCAGUAAGUGUUAGCUGUCACUGUUUUCAUCAUUAUCAUCAUGAACGUGCCCAACACACUGCUUGGCACAUGAGAAAUGUUAAGUGAAUGUUCAUUUCUUCUCCUUCCCCUUGCUCCUGUAUUUCCCAAGGCACCACACCCCCAUCUGUUAUCUGUAGACCUGUUAAGACGAGGUCUAGGGUUGAGGAAGAGCACACAGUGCUUCUUCCCAGGCAAUGUGACUGGGCUGGCCUUGUUUACUGGGGCAGUGAGCUGCUACACAAAGUCAUUAAUCAUACGUGGUGCUAUGUGCUUUCAGGUCACUCUGCAGAAAUGGACAACUCCAUCUGGUUUUUCCUCAGGGAGACAGAGCCUUCCCAUGUAUCCACGUAUGGAGUUCCUAUUGAGGACUCAACCUUUGCAAUAGCUUCUUGGAAUCUGGAAAGUCUACUAAGGUAAAAAUUGAUAACUGGAUCAUGCUAAGUUCUGGCAAGGAUGUGGAGCUAUAGAAAUCUGCAUUUACUGCUUCUGUCAAGCAUCAGGCACUAAGCUCAGUCCUUUAUAUAUAUUAUCCCGUCUAACUGUCAUAGUUGCUCUGAGCAUUUUCAUUCUUUAUCUACAUAGGGAAACUGAGGUUCAAGGAGGUUAUAAUUCACUCAACGUUGCAUUGCUAGGAAGGAGCAGAGCUGAGUUUCUUUCAUGGACUUAGUGUCCCUCUCAAAAUCACGUCAACUUCAUUUGAAAAUUAUAAUGAAACUAUUAAAACUAUAAUAUUCUUACUUUUUAUACAAAAUUAUUAUCUUUCUUUUCCAACCAUACUUGUACUUGUUACAACCUCAGAAGGCCUAUAUAAAGUAAAGCGGGGGAGUAGGAGAGCCAGAGUAUUAUCUUUAUUUUAUAGAUGUGCUAUUGGAGCCCUUGGAGGGCGAGUAAAUUACUUAAGGUAAUUUAAAUUUCAUUUUAAAAUUGAAGAUUAACAAAGGUACCUGGACAGUUUAAGGAGCCAGAUUAAAAAGACAUCUUCACUAGGGGACAGUCAGUACUGGAUUUGGAAACUGUCACAGUUUUAAAUACAGUAGUGCCCCCUUAUCUUCAGGGGACAUGUUCCAAGACCCCCAAGGGAUGCCUGAAAUCUCAGAUAGUACCAAACUAUAUAUAUUUGCUAUUUUUUCCUAUACAGUAACAGGCGGAUAGUAUAUACAUCAUGGACACACUGGACAAAGAGAUGAUUCAUGUUCUGGGUGGGAUGGAGUGACAUGGCAUGAGAUUUCAUCACGCUACUCAAAAUGUGAAACUUUUGCAUUAUUUCUGGAAUUUUCCAUUGAGUAUUUUCGGACUGUGGCUGACUGCAGGUAACAGAAACUGUAGAAAGUGCAACUGCAGAUAAGGGGAACUACUGUUCUCCCUCUGAGACACGAUUUGAAGCAAAGGGGCCUGGGCUGAGUGGUGGGAGAUCUGCUUUCUUAGUCUGCCUGGGCAGGUCCUCUGGCUGGCUCACAACUGAAACAUAUCACUGCCCCUUCUAAGACUUGAAUAUUUCACUUACAGAUGAAGAUUGGGAACAGUUGGCUUCUGAGAUCCUUUCCAGCACCAACCCACUUUAAUUCUAUAAACCCAACAUUCCCAAGUAUACCAUGGUCAUCUGUACUUUGCAGGCUCUCUCUAGAAUGGACAAAGGUUAUUCUGCAGUGUGGGCACAGAUGUGGUCCUGUAAUGCAAGAUACUGAAAACCACAUCCCCACCCCUAACCCACAAAUUUCCUCUCUAGGCCUCUUUUAUAGGAAUGUCUUCAGACUACCCCACUGCCUAUCCCACUGACAAUUUAAAGGCAAUAUAACUAACAAGCUCAUCCUUUACCCUCUGUCAAUAUCUCUGCUGCCCAUGGCUGGCUCCCCUGUGCUCUGGCCUCCCUAGUGCAAGCUGACUCAGUCAAUACCCAAGACUUACCAUUUCUACCACUAGGCCCUCUCUUAUAUUGAUUCCCAAUUACACAUUACUUUGUUGACUUCUUUUCAUAUUCCACCCUUUAGAUCCUGAAUUCAUCAUCCUUUGUGUAAUAAAUUCCCAGUUUUCAGAAAAAGUGAAAUGGUCCCCUUCUAUGCCUUCAUGGAGACAGGCUGCAGCUGGAGCCUUUUGGCAGCCAAAAGAGACCCCUUUGCAGCUCUUAACAAUCUGUUACUGAAUAAUUUGAGAGAAUAUUGCUAAUUAUGAACCUGUGUCUUUAGAUACCCAAGUCCUUAAGCUGCAGAGUACCCAGGACAAGGUUCUCCUCCUUGAGCAAGUUACCCUCUCUGCCAUAGUUUCCCCAUCUGUGAAACAGGUAUAAUAAUAGUACCUACCUUACUGUUGAUGUAAAGAAUCAAUUAAUAAUGUAUGUAAAAUGUGUAAAACCACACAUAGAUCAAUAAUGUCAACUAUUACUGUUAUUAUGGUUCAAUAAAUAUUUGACAGUUGGUCACACAGUG